CUUGGCUUCACAUCCUUGAUGACUACACCCAGUAUACCUGAAGAAGAAGAAGAGAUGCCUCGAGUAGAUGUUGUGUAUGAAAAUAUUCAAAACAUACCUCCUCUACUGAAGACAUACAUCAAGAGUCCUGCAAAGCUAAAGAGAAAAUGUGGAGAUGAGGAUCCUUCAGAGCCGAGCAGUGCGGAGAAGAGGAUCGAUUUUGAUGAUCCAUCAGCAGCUUAGGAUGUUAUAGAUAGUUUUG